AUCUAGAGGAAUGGAUGAAGGAUUUGACCAUUCAGCUUCUAUUCUGAACUCUAACCCACAAAGAAGUCCGGGAUGAUUUGCCUAAAGCAGAUGCAAUUUGGCCCAAUUGAAAGAACUCUGGAUUUGAAGUCAGAGAACAUGUGAGAUCUUCAGCAUCCCAAUUGCUGGAACGAAGAAGAGGCGAUUUGUCCAGAGGAAAGCUGAGUAUGGUUUCAGCAAGGAACUUCAGGCUAAGCCCAUUUGGAAGCAAAUCUCUCCUGAAAGAAAUGAAGAGCUUUCAAUGGGGUGUGGAGAAGGGAGAAGAGUAGUCACUGGGAAAGGACAAUGAUGUGAAAAAAUAUCAUCAAUAAAAUUUUUUUUCAAAGAAUUUAUUUAAAUAUGAGAAUACUUGUAUAUAGUGAUACAGAAUAAGAAAAGCAGAGCCAAAAGGAUAUCAGUGAAAAAAAUCAUAAUGCUAUCCUACCUCCUAACAGAGAUUAUAUUUUCAAGCUAAAAAAUAAAACAUACAUGUGAACAAGAAUAAUGUGGGAGUUUGUUUUACUUGACUAUUUGUUAGAAGGGUUUUGUUUUUCUAUUUUUUUUCUAUUCAAAGGUGAUGAAUUGAGGGAAAAUUGUUAAUUGAAAAAAUGAAUUUUUAUUUUUAAAUCAUAGAAUCAUGUAUUUAGAAU